rnacentral:rRNA from 1 species
UACGUAGGGUGCGAGCGUUGUCCGGAAUUAUUGGGCGUAAAGAGCUUGUAGGCGGUUUGUCGCGUCUGCCGUGAAAUUUCGAGGCUCAACCUCGAACUUGCGGUGGGUACGGGCAGACUAGAGUGUGGUAGGGGAGACUGGAAUUCCUGGUGUAGCGGUGAAAUGCGCAGAUAUCAGGAAGAACACCCGUGGCGAAGGCGGCUCUCUGGUACGUGACUGACGCUGAGACGCGAAAGCGUGGGGAGCAAACAGG